rnacentral:rRNA from 1 species
AGGGCCCCGCCAGGGGUGGAGCCUGCGGCUUAAAUUUCCUCAACACCAGAAAUCUUACCCGGCCCCGACACUGGGAGGAUUUACCUAUUGGGAACUCUUUCCCGAUUCCGUGGGUGGUGGGGCAUGGCCCUUCUUAUUUGGUGGAAUGUUUUGUCUGGUUAAUUCCAAUAACGAACCAUACUCCGUUCUGCUAAUUAGUUCCCGCAUCCUUUGUCGCGCGGGAACUUCUUCUUAUAGGGACUGGCUGCGUCUACCCGCACAAGAUUGAGAAUCACAGGUCUGUGCUGCCCUUAUAUGUGCCCGGCCCCCCCCCCGCUACCUUGUUAUGGGUGUGUCAGAAUUACCUUCUGAAAAAAUAUAAAACCCCCCCUUAUUUUUAAACAAAUAAAAAAAGGCCCCCACCCAGUUUUUCCCCCCCCGGAGAACUCUCCAUAUAAAAAACCCCCCCCCCGAAAAACUAUUCUCCGGGAAAAAACCAAAAAAUUUUUUUUUUUGGUCUCCCCGGGGGGAAAAAAUAUU